UCCAAAGUGUAAGAGGGUAGCCCCUUUUAUAGUACAGAAAAUAGGUAAGAAUAAGGUAAGGAAAUAAUUUGAAAAUCAAUCAAAAGUUGUUUCCCGUUGGUUAAGGGAUUGAUUUCAAACGGGCAUGACAAAUAAGGAAAGGGCUUUGAUUUAAAAAAAGCUUUUCCAAGGCAAUAUAACAGGGCAAAUACAUAGAGAAUUAUUUAAGGAAAUAGCUUAGUAGCACACGGUUUGGACAAAAAUAAGGAAAGACAAUCAAUCACAGCCAGUAAAAAUCAAGGCUUGAGUCUUGAUACGAAUGAAUCCAACCAAGAAAGGUGAAGAGGAACUUAGUUUUAAAGAAAAAUCAUCAACACUCAAUCAGACCCCUUUAAAAAGGUCACAGAAUCAAU
rnacentral:lncRNA from 1 species